UGGCCCAGAGUUGGAAAGAAGCAUGCACAACCAUCCCUUGGGAGCCUGCAAAAGCUUCUCUUCCUCCCACCCUCCACCAGAUUGCAGCUCAAACGCCCCUUCAUUGAAGAGUUGCCCCAACUCCCCAACCAGGUCAAGUGUCCCUUUUUUUUUUCCUCACAGCAAUCUGUAUGUUUGUCUCAAAAUCCUUCUCAAAAUUCAUAGUCAUCAGUCACUUUAUCACAACCAUUAGAUUGCGAGUGCCGUGGAGACAGAACCAUACCCAUUUUCCUCUCCAGUACAUCCCCAGAUCCCCAGCAUUAACUGACCGAUCAAGCAAACGAGCGAUUGAGGAGGAAAGGUAGGUGGAUGGGUAAGUGGGUGGGUGGAUGGAUAGAUGGUUGUUUAGAAUUUUGUCUCUCUUCCAAACUCUGAGAGGCCACUUCUCUAAAUUUUUAACUAGUGCUCAGUUCUUCCCUGAACUCUCUGGAACAAAACUGCUCAAAUUCUAUUUAGAAGUUAACCAUUUUCUGAUGGCUGAAGAUCACAGCACAGGGGCAGAUUUCCUGGAUCGGUCAUGUGAAUUCCAAGGAGUACAUCACUCUUCAGGGUUCAGUUCCAUCAGUGAAUUGGAUAUUCUGAUGCUAACUAGUGCUUCAGUUGAGUGAGCGUGGACUCACUGUGCCUCAAAACUUGGCCUCUAUAAGCAAGAUAAAUCCCCAAGGUCUGCUUUGGAACUUGGGUCCACAUACCAACUUUGUUUUCUUCUGCAUGUUUCAUAACACUACUGAUAUAUAAUAACUUCUGUCCAAGUUACAAACUAAGAUCAAAAUUCUCAAGGGCUUGACUCUUCCCGGGAAAUUAUUUAUAACUAGAAAUAUUUUCUCAUAGUCCGAAUUAGCACCUCUGCUAUGUAGAGAUUUACUUUUUUUUAUGAUAAUGGAUUUUAAUUUAUGAAAACGAUUCAAAGGUAUGAGAUAUUAUUACUAUUCACUAGGGACCUGUCAUGGUUUAGAUGCAGUAUCCCCCAAAAGCUCACAUGUGAGACAAUCAAUGCAAGAAGGUUUGGACGAGAAAUGAUUGGGUCAUACCCUUAACCUAAUCAGAGAAUUGAUCCCUGAUGGGAUUAGAUGGGUGGUAACUGGAGGCAGGUGGGGUGUGGCGGGAGAAAAUGGUUAAUUGGGGGCAGGGCCAUGGGUAUAUAUUUGUAUCUGGUUCGAGGAGUCUCACUCUGCUUCCUGAUCACCCGUGAGAGCAGUUUCCCUCUGCCACACUCUUCCACCACGAUAUUCUGCUUCAUCUCAGGCCCCAAGGAAUGGACCCGGCCUUCUGUGGACUAAGGCCUCUGAAAUUGUGAGCCCUAAAUAAACCUUUCCUCCUUUACACUCGUUCUGGGUGGGUCCUUUAGUCACAGCAGCAAGAAAAGCUGCCUAAACCAGCACCUAAGAGGUCUCCUUAUUCCUGUCUCCUAUGCAAUGGGCUUUAACUUAUACAAAUACAGGAGAAAAGAUGUCAAAAUUUAAAUAGGUGAGGGCUGCAGCUCAAUGAUAGUGCACGUGCCUAAUGUGUGACGCCCUGGGUUCAAGACCUAGCACCGGAAAAAUAAAAACUACAAAUAACUAACAUAAGAGGUCAAUUAGGUAUGCCUGCAAGUCACCUAGGUAAAAAGUUAAGGGUGACUCAUCACAUUAAUGAGACUUCUUAAAUUUUCCAUCUGGCACUUCAGAAUUCUUUCUGGCAAAUUUUUGGAUUUUAAACCAUUUAGCACAGUUAUAAGCAAAGUUUGACCUCAGGCCAUGGACUGCCCACCUACGCUUGCAAUGCAGCUUAGGAUCCAAUUUCAGGAAUCCUUUAAUCUUAAUAACAGAGAAAUGAGUUCCUCUCAGAGAACGUCAGCCCUAGCUGACUCCUACUGAUGAAGUGCUUCUGACAAGGAAGAACCAAUCAAGUGCAGCAGGGUGAGCUGAUGUGUGUGCAGCUCACGGGGGAGGGGUGCGUGGAAAUCCACUCUGGGCCUGGUCUUGGGCAUUUAUAAGGGAUCAUUUCAAGCAGAAGCUAACAGUUACAGAGCAGCAACUGCAUCUUUCCACUUCCCUGUUUAAUAGUGAAAACACAGGGCCAGGGAUAUAGCUCAGUAGCAGUAUGCUUGCCUAGCAUGAGAGGCCCUGGUUUUGAUCCAGAGCACCACGAAAAAGAAAGAAAGAAAGGAAGGAAGGAAGGAAGGAAGGAAAGAAAAUGAAAAUAAACUAGCUAUAAAAGUCUCUUGCUCAGUAAGAAAAUGUGUUCAAAGCUCAGCAUUAUAAUUAUAUACUUCUGUUAUGCAAUUUCUGAAAAUUUAUCUCCUAGAAAGGAAACCCUUCAAGUGAAAGAAUAAUCAUUUUUUUAAAAAAGGCUAAACUUCAGAUACUGUACUUUCUAGUCUAAUAAUAAUACAUAUAGUAGGUGAAGAAAAAAUUAAGUUCACAGGCAUUGCUUCUACUUGGAUUACCCUUACGAUAUAUGUUCUAACACAUCCACCUUCCAAACUGUGCCACGUGUUGGUAUUAGUUAGCUGUUCAUUACUGUGACACAAAUACACAACGAGAACAACUGAGAGGAGGAAAGAUUUGUUUUGGUUCACAGUUUCAGAGGAUUGAGUCCAUGUUGGCUGGCUUCUUUGGCUCUGGGCCUGAUGUGAGGGAGAUCAUCAUGGUGGAGGGCAUGGCAGAGGAGAUGUACUCAGCUCCUGGCAGACAUAAAGGAGGAAGGGAGGGAGGGAAAACAAAUGCCUCUAGAGCACACCCCCCAGUGACCUCCUUCCUCCAACUGGGUCCCACAAGCUAUCAAUAAUCUAUCCAGCCAUCCAUGGAUUAAUCCACCUAUGAGGUCAGAGCCCUCGUAAUCUAAUCAUCACCUAGAAGCCUCAUCUCUGAACUUUGUGGAAAUGGGACCAUGCUUUCAACACCUGAGCUUCGGGAGAUAUUUCAGAUAUAAACCAUUCAAACUGACUCAAGUCCCCAUGAGAAUAGUAAUCAUGGCACCUGCCAUUCACUGUGUGGGAGAGAUUCAGAAACAUACCCACAUUUAUACUUGCAUAGAGUUCAUUUGAGCUUAUUUUACUUAUACCAUGCAAUAUGGUCUCCCCAACCACUCAAGCAUUUUCCAAGCACAUGAAAGGUGAAUAACAGUUCAAAAAGAUAGAUGUAAUGCUCCACGGGCAGUAGCAAAAAAUAAUUACAGACAAAAACAGAAGAGGAGGAACCAAGAGGGAAGACAGGGAGAGGCAGAUAAUCCAGCUAGAAAUGCAGAGGCCUCCAGGUCAUAAGAAAGAAUUAAAUGACUCUCAAUAACCCUGGAGAACAACACCAAUAAAAAUACUGUGCGAGUUAACAUCAAAAGAACUAUGAUCUAUGUCCUAUGGGAGACAAAGUAGUAUUACAUCCAUGAAACAAGAACAGAAUGCUAUUACAAAAGGAAAAAUAGAACAAGAAUUAGCUUGCAGAAAAUGAAAAACAGGAAUGAAAUAAAGUUCAGGAAUUCUCACAAAAAGAUAAAAUGGUGAACAAGAGAAAAAUUAAGAAAAUUAGCAUACACAUCUAGGAAUUGAUCAUCUAAUAAGAGAACUUUCAAAGGAAAAAUCAACAAGCAAGAUAAAAUUAUCAAAGAAAUAAUAUCUUUUUCUCCAAAAACCUGAAAACCCAGACUAAAAAUGGCUCACUGAGCACUCAACACAAUGAAUCAAAAAGCCUCAAAGAUGAGCAUGAUGGAGUUCUUUUUAGAAUAUUAAGUUUAGGUGGCCUGUUGCAAAUACCAGUCAAAAUCGCAUGUAUAUAAAUAUGAGCCCAGAGCUAAUAUUAUGGGAAGAAGUGAAGGUUAGAAAUAUAAAUUUGGAGUCAUUUAUAUCGAAAAAUAUCUGAAGUCAAAAUACUGAAUAAAAUAAAGUAUGGAGGCAGAAACAGGGAAAGGAAUAGAAAAACAGAGGUCAAAAAGUGGAGAGAUUGGGGCUCCAAGAAGAGACAGGAAGGAGGAGAAACAGGUUGGGGAGGAGAUGGGAGAUGACCAGGUAACUAAGAUGUCCCAAGAGACCAGAAAGACAGACCCUGGGGAAGGUAGUGAGGCCACUGUGUCACAGGCCACCAGGAUGAAGACAAAGCGUCACAGUGGCCCCCGUUACCCACAGCUUUACUUUCUAGGCUUCAAUAAUCCACAGGCAAAUACAACCUGAAAAUAUUAGAUGAAAAACUCCAGAAAUAAAUAAUUCAUAAAUUUUAAAGAAAUUUUAUUAAAAUAUUGUUAUAUUUGUCCUAUUUGGGUUUGUAUUAUUGUUAAUUUCUUCUUGUGCCUAAUUGAUAAAUUAUUUAUCACAGGUGUGCACAUAUAGGAAAAACAAGUAUAUAGUUGGCCCUCUGUGUCCACAUGUUCACAUCCAUGGCUCCAAGUAACUGUGGAUCAAAAAUACCUAGAAAAAUAUUGCCUCUCUCCUGAUGUGUCCAGGUGUUUUUCCUUAUCAUCCUUCUUUACACAAUACAAGAACUAUUUCCACAGCAUUUGCCCUGCAUUGACUAAGAUGGUUGAAAGCACACAGGAGGUUGCAUGGGUUAUAUGCAGAACUAUUCCAUUUUACUCUGAGAGACUUGAGCAUCCACAGAUUUCAAUACCUGUAAGGGACUGGUGGGGGCAUUUUGGAAACAGUCCCAAGGAUACGGAGGGACAACUGCAUACAAAGUUAGGUAUUAUCAUGGUUUGAAGCACCCAGGGAACAACUUAGACCAAAUGCCCCCAGGAUAGGGGGCAAGGGGUGCGGCACAGGAGAGAACUUGUGGUUGGACCCCGUGAGAUGGAAAGAACUGCCUUGGUAAGAACACACACCUUCCAGAAGCAUCAGUUUAACUCAAAGAUUAGAGUCGGAGUGGGGUGGGGUGGAGAUGCAAGAUAUUCAUCAUGGCAGUACUGUUUUGGCACUUAAAAAAAAAGAUGGAUAUUUUACGGAGCAGAAUACAGUAUUUAUAUUGAUUUUUUAUCAGGAGACUUCAAAGAAAUUGAGCCUGUCUUGGGCUCUAUUUCCAUAUGCUCCUCCACUCCCAACCCACACGGAAAUGCUUCACUCAGUGCCCAGAGCUGCCCAGACUUUGAUGAUAAUUCGUUAACAGUUCUAGAGCCAGGGUAUAGCUCAAUGGUAAAGUGCGUGCUUUGCAAGCAUGAGGCCCUGGGUUCCAUCCCCAGCAAAGCACACACACACACACACACACACACACACUUAACUGUUCUGUAGGAAAGCACCAGGAGCCCGACUCAAAACAUAUGAACAUUAGCAAACAGCUCCCCCUGCUGACCCAGUGUCUAAAGAAGCUUUGGAAAAUGGAUUGACGGACAAGCCAGGACACCUCUGUUGAAGCCUCCUGGAACACUCCCUGGUUCAGCUCACAAGGUUCAUCCUGCAUUCCUUGGGUUCAAUCCCCAGUAACGGGGAGAAAAAAAGUUCAUCCCAGUAACCUCCUGUCUCUGUACUAAGGCCCUGCUAAGGGUCUGAGAAAAUGAUCCACUCUAUCUUCCUGAGGAGUCCGCUACAACGUGAGGGAGAUAAGUACCUGCCAACUCAAAAGAGGCAGAAUCAGUAAAUGAACUCACGACGGAAUCACUUAAGGCACGAUGACUUCAGAGAGGGCCAUGUAGUCUGGCUUUUCCUACAGAAAACAAACCAUAAAGCUUCUUUUGGGCUGGGUGCAGUAGAGCACACCUGUAAUCCCAGCAGCUCGGGAUCGCAAGUUCAAAGCCAGCCUCAGCAACUUAGCAAAGCCCUAUUCAACUUAGUGAGACCCUGUCUCAAAAUAAAAUAAAAUAAAAAGGGCUGGGGAUGUGCUCCAUGGUUAAACAUCCCUGGGUUCAAUCCCUGGUACAAAAAAAAAAAAAAAAAGACUCUUUUGGGAGUCUUGUCCUUCACAUACCAAGACUGGAAAACAGCCCUGACCACCUGCUAACUAGAGACUGAGCAUUGCCAUGAGCCUGGAUAAACGACCCACUGGAAUAACCCUCAUCUCCACUGGCUUCCGCGCCCCACCCACACCUCUCCAGUAACAUCCCGGAACUUCCUACCCUAGUUCAGAGGUCCCUCUGUCCAACCAUUUCUUCACAGAUUUAUUCUUCAUCUAAAAAGUAUAAAAUCUGUGGCUCAGUGGUGGAGCCCUUACCUAGCAUGUGAGAGGCACUGGGUUAGAUUCUCAGCACCACUUAUAAGUUCUAUGAACAACUAAAAAGGUGUAUUAAAAAAAUUUUAAAAUACAGAAUCAUGGUUUGGUAAUUUCUUCAGCCUUGACUCUCUUGUAAAGAUUCCUAUGUUUAUGUAAAUUAAUAAAACUUCUGUGCUUCUUUCUUGUUAAUCAGCUCUUAUAUUAAUUUGGUUCCUGAAGUCACCCAGAGAUCCCAUAUAAGAAACAAGGGGGCCCAGGCAUGGGCAGCACCUGUAAUCCCAGUGAGUUGGAGACCGAGGCAGGAGCAUACCAUGUUCCAGGCCAGCCUUGGAAACUUAGGGAGACCGUGUUUCAAAACAAAAAAUAAAAAGGGCCGGGGAUGUAGCUCAGUGGUAAAAGUGCUUCUAGCAUGUAUGAGGCCCUGAGUUCCAUCCCCAAGUACCACACAAAAAGAAAGGAUGGGAAAACGGAGAGUAGAGGAGAAAGGGGAGUGAAGGGAACCUCUCCAUCCCCUACAAAUUCUGCAUGUCAUUAAAUGGGUGUGCUUCCGUUUCUCAACAGAGGAUGCGGCAGUGCCAGACAAAGAGCAGUGGUUAUUUCAGAUACUACCUCAAAGGACCAAGGACACUUGACUGGGCAGGAAAAUGACAGUAGGGCUUCUCCCCAACCUGACCCACACUCCUGCUUUUUAUGUUUUACAUGUUGAUACACCUACUUAUAUUUUAUAGGAGAAAAUAAUACUCUGCUGAAGGUCUGUAAGCUGCUCAGUUCUACCAACCCUAAUAGAAAGGGAUUCUACACACAAGUCUGAACUCAGUCAUCUUGUCUUCCCCCAUCCCAGGUACUGCAUCCAGGAGAUGCCCAGCAGAUGGCUGGAUAUUCAAGUCUGCAGCUCUUGAGAGACAGGGGUUCUCAUGAAGAGAGCACCAGGUGGUGUGGAACACGGUGUUGCUACAAUCAGCUCACAACAGCAGUGUGUCCUAUGAUGUUGUUCUGUGCAUUAACUGAAGGCAAAAGUCUCUAAAAGCAAUUCCAGGAAGGACCAAAAUAGCCCAGGGCAAGCAAGAUGCCGCUGAUGUUCUGAAAGGACUGUACAUCCUUUAGAAAUCUCCCCUGAACAUUAUUCUUCUCGAGUGAGCUUUUGGUAAGAGUUCAGCUCCCCACAGGUAUGUGGUCAAUCAAGGGAACAUCUCUCUGCACUCUGACACUCAGUCCUGCCCUCAUGGACAGAAACAUUUGGACGAUUAUGAGAACCCAAACUUCUGUCCCAUAUAGCUGGCUUGCAGUAACUUUAGCCUAGAAGAUUCUCUGAACUUACGUUAUAGUUGCUCCAACUGGUGAAAAGAAAAUGGAAAAAAAAAAACCCAAAAAUAUACAAAUGAGGUGUUUUAAUUUUGAAUGUAGCAGUGUACUUUGCGGGGGAACCCUUUUAUAUCUUCGAAUUGUAGCAUGUAGUAAUCCUAGGUGAUCAAAUGAAUCAACCUGCUCUUUACUUUGUAUAAACCAACACAAUGUCCGAAGAUACCUACUGAAAAUGGACCUGUGAAGCAGGCAUAUCCCUUCUCUCACAGAGUUUGUACUCAAGUGGAAAGAGGGAAAUUACACAAAUCUAAACAUGUAAACUAAAUAUGUAGGUACAGAUGUGCGGAAUGCCUUGAAGGAGGGAGACAGGGACAGAGUGGCCUAAUUUAAGCCAGGAGGAGUGUGGCAAGGAAGAGCUCAAUGAGGAGGUGAAGUUCAACCCAAGACACUAAGGGCUGCUAACAGCCACUGGAUAGAGAGUGGAGGACAGGAUACUCCAGGCAGGAGGGAAGCAGGUCCUGAAGUGAAGGGAGACAUCACGCUGCUGGGGGGGCAAGGACACCGGCAGGAGAGGAGUCCAGAGAGAGAGGCCAGAGAAGCAAAACACAGCAAGGUCGUACGACCGUCUCAGACGUCAUCCAGAGCAGGCUUUGCACUCAGACAGGUAACAUGGUCUGACUCCUGUUUCUAAAGCACUCCAGGGGACUUCUGAACACCCCAUUGCAGAACAAAUGACCUGCCUUACUAUUCACCCACUUCAAGCACAAUACAGUUUGAUGCAUUUCAGUAAACUUACACAGUUAUCAGCCACCACCACAGUCACCCAAAAAAGUCCCCUUGGGGCCAUUUCCACUCCUGCUCCCAUGCCUGGCCCAAGGCAACCGUAAUUGAUGUCUAUCUCUAUAUACUAUGGUUCUCGUGCUAGAGGCUUGGCCCCCAGUACAGGGGUGUUGAGGGGGCAUCUCGUGGAAGGCUGUUGGGUCAUGGAGGCACUGCCCUCGCAGAUGGAUUAAUGCUGUCUCUCAGGAGUAGACCAGGUCUGGUAGGAGUGGCUUAGUUCCCAAGAGAAGGAUGCUGUAGAAUGAGGUGGCCUUCCUGGUCUCUUGGUUCCUAUAAGCAUAGGAUCUCUCCUCUUCACCGUCCUGCCACUGGGGUGCAAUCUGCCCUGAGGCCCUCAUCAGAGCCAAGCAGAGGUCAGUGUCAUGCUCUUAAACCUCUAUAACAGCGAGCUAAAAAAACAAAACAAACCUCAUUCUUCAUAAAGUAGCUAGCCUCAUGCAUUUUGAUAUAGCAAUAGAAAACUAAUGAAAGCAUUACAGGGGCUGGGGAUGUGGCUCAAGCGGUAGCGCGCUCGCCUGGCACGCGUGCGGCCCGGGUUCGAUCCUCAGCACCACAUACAAACAAAGAUGUUGUGUCCGCCGAGAACUAAAAAAUAAAUAUUAAAAUUCUCUCUCUCUUUAAAAAAAAAAGUAUUAAAAAAAAAGAAAGAAAGCAUUACAGUUUUGCCCUUUAGAAAGGGAGAUUUCUUAUAGGUGGAGUCAUACACUGCGUAGACUUCUGUGUAUGGCUUGUCUGAUAUUCCACAAUGUUCUUGAGGAUCAUCAGUGUUAUUGUAUGUACCAGUAGUUUAUUUUAUUUUUAUUACUGAGUAGCAGCAUCCCACGCUAUGUACAUAAUACAUGCUGUUUAUCCUUUCCAAAUGAUGGACAUCUGGACUGUUUCCAGAGGCGGGCUAUAUGGAUAAGGCUAUUAUGAACAUUGUUAUGGUUGCUACAAACAUUGUUAAUAAUUUGGAUCUAGAAAUGUCCCCCCAAAAUCUCAUGUUUUGAAAGCAGAUUCCCCAGAACAGAGAGGUUCAGAGAUGGGGCUGUUAAGCAGUGACAAAAGCUGUGACCUUAUCGGGAGAUUGAUCCAUUUGAUGGGUUAAUAAUUUGAAUGGACUACUGGGGUGGUAACCACAGAAGGUGGGGCCUGGCGGGAGGAAGGCAGUCACUGGGAGCAGGCCCUUGAAGACCACACCUUGUCCAUGGCCUGCAUCUCUUCCCUGCCUCUCCUUGCCCACUUCCUCUUCUCCCUCCAUGGAACUGGCAGGAGCUGAGCAGCUCUCCUCUGCCACACCCUCUGCCCUGAUGUUCUCUCUCACCUCAGCCCAGAGCCACGGAGUCGGCCAACCAUUCGGGAAAACAGUACGGAGAUUCCUUCAAAGACUAAAAAUGUAACUGGCAUAUGUUCAGAAAUCCCACUGCUAGGUUCAUUGUGGCACUAUGCACAUUAGCUAAGAAAUGGAAAUAACCUAAAUGUGCAUCAGCUGAUGAAUGGAUAAAGAAAAUGGUGAACAUGUGCCGGGUUUCUGUUCUCACGACUAAAAGGCUCAGGGGUCACUCUAGUUGAACUGGGCUGACUGGGCUGCACGAAAUAACCACACAAGAGACACAAAUACCUUUUUCUUUGGGGUUGCUGUGACGGCUCCUCUGACCUUAAGGGUCCGCAGGAAGAGAGAGAGUGAGAGCACACGCGCUGACCACUUUUAUUGAGGAGAAGGUAUUCAAAUGAGGCAAGGGGUCAGGUUUCAGGGGGCUGAGUCUAUCUUCAUGAUGUCCACUGUCAGCAGGUUGACUGACACCUGGGUAGGCCACACCCAAGGGCACAGUAAGAGGAGGGGACACACACAAGGCACUUCCAUGGAAGAUUCUAUCCUAAACAGGGCAAGGGGUUAAUUACAAAGGAACAGGUGAGCGUAGCUCCACCCACGGGGCUGUAGGAAGACACACCCAUUUCUGUGACUGAGCACCUCAGCACCCAGCUGGGGAGUGUAACUCAGUCACUCAUAAGCUUGGCCUCCCACAAACAUGUACAAAAUGGAAUACCAUUUUGGCCAUAAAGAAGAAUAAAGUGCUAUCCUUUGUGGCAAUGUGGAUGGAACUUGAGGUCACUAUGCUAAGUGCAAUGAGCCAGACACAGAAAGACUAGUGCUCUAUGUUCUCACUCACUUGGGGAAACCAGAAUGUCGACAUCAUAGAAGAACAUGAUGGAGACUUGGUCCCCAGUGUGGGGUGUCAGAGUGGUGGCACCAGAAACUAGCACAGGUGGGAGAGGGGAGGGAAUGCAAACACAUAAGGGACACCCAAACAGAAUCAGCUGGGAAGAAUCAAUUCUGGUUUUCCAAGGCACAGUGGGGCAGCUACCAUUCACAGCAAUCUAUGAUGGAUUUCAAAAUAACCAGAGGAGUACAAAGGUUCUCAACACAUGGAAAUUCUUAAUAUUUGAGGACAUGGAAGUAUUUAAUGCCCUGAUCUGACCACUACACAUUAUAUAUGCA
rnacentral:lncRNA from 1 species